AACGAGUUGUUUGCGUAAUUACCAAUCGAGAGGAUUUUUAGCUAAAGUGGCUGGUUUCCAGACAUUGGUGUUUGUACCAGUAAAGUUGGGAGUUGUGGAACUUGGAUCUGUUAAAUCAAUUCCUGAAGAUCAGGGUGUUCUAGAGUUGGUUAGAGCUGCCUUUGGGGGAUCAAAUACUGCCCAAUUGAAGGCCUCCCCAAGGAUCUUUGGACAUGAACUAAGUUUAGGUGGAACAAAACCUCG
rnacentral:misc_RNA from 1 species